rnacentral:sRNA from 1 species
GGUGGGAUUCGGGAUGAAGUGGUUGACUCGGUCGCCGAUCACGGCCCAGGUGCGCUUGCCAUCGCUGAGCAUCUGUACGCCGCGCCGCUUGAACUUCUU